AGUGAACGCUGGCGGUAGGCCUAACACAUGCAAGUCGAACGGCAGCACAGUAAGAGCUUGCUCUUACGGGUGGCGAGUGGCGGACGGGUGAGGAAUACAUCGGAAUCUACUUUUUCGUGGGGGAUAACGUAGGGAAACUUACGCUAAUACCGCAUACGACCUACGGGUGAAAGCAGGGGAUCUUCGGACCUUGCGCGAUUGGAUGAGCCGAUGUCGGAUUAGCUAGUUGGCGGGGUAAAGGCCCACCAAGGCGACGAUCCGUAGCUGGUCUGAGAGGAUGAUCAGCCACACUGGAACUGAGACACGGUCCAGACUCCUACGGGAGGCAGCAGUGGGGAAUAUUGGACAAUGGGCGCAAGCCUGAUCCAGAAAUACCGCGUGGGUGAAGAAGGCCUUCGGGUUGUAAAGCCCUUUUGUUGGGAAAGAAAAGCAGCAGGUUAAUACCCCGCUGUUCUGACGGUACCCGAAGAAUAAGCACCGGCUAACUUCGUG
rnacentral:rRNA from 1 species